ACACACACACACACACACACACACACACACACACACACACACACACACACACAUGUACAAACGAACACACAAUGUCGAAGGGUAUUUAUGGACGUCAAGCCAACGAGCACUUCACAGGCUCUCAAGGCGGUCUCGGGUCAAGAGGUCUCCUGUUCUUGUUUCCCGUAAACAUGAGGACCCCUGUACACCCCUGUAUCAAAUGUUCAUGGUGUAAUAAUUACUUCCCGUUGUCCGCACUCGCAGCUCAUAGGGCGGCCUGCCUUCCAGAGGGCCUUGGGACUGGAUCGAAAGAUAUAUCUACUAGAAACAAUGGUAAGUACUUAAAUGUUUGCGUUACUUUAUAUGAUUGUCAUAAAAAACAGUAGCAGAUGUGGAUGACGGGAGGGAGGUAGAGAGCUGGGCAGCAUGGUCAAUAUCGACUUUAGUCUUUCUAUCUUUUUUCAGAAGAGACGUCGUCGACUAGCUCUGAUCGAUCAGAUGUCGGUUUCUCUCAACCAGACCCCAGCGAUAUUGGAAGUUGUUCUCCACGGGCGGGUCUCAGCGACGAAGCCAGUCAAAACCAAAGGACUAUCUCCGAAGAAGGCGGGUCUGGUAGGCUCAGCCAUUGGCCCUCCUCUUCAGCGAUCGGUAGUGGACGAAAACGAAAACAAGCGAAUACAGGAACAAACGACACCUGCAGGAAAAAGCAAGCCCGUCGUGAGGGAUUCUCCCAUCCAAACAGUUCUCCACAGCCAGGACCCAGCGGUUAUAACCCGGGACGGCCGACAACAAC